GACAUAGGUCGCAAACGUUAUCCGGAAUUAUUGGGCGUAAAGGAUGCGUAGAUGGUUCAGUAAGUUACUGGUGGGAAAUCGAGGCCCAACCUCGUGGAAGUUAGUAAUACUGUUGAACUUGAGUGCAGGAGAGGUUAACGGAACUUCAUGUGGAGCGGUAAAAUGCGUAGAUAUAUGAAAGAACAUCAAUAUGGCGAAGGCAGUUAACUAUUCUGCUACUGACAUUGAGGCAUGAAAGCGUUGGGGAGCAAAACGG
rnacentral:rRNA from 1 species